AAGCUCGUAGUUGAAUUUCGGGGUUAGUAGGUUGGUCAUGCCUCUGGUAUGUACUGGUCUCACUGAUUCCUCCUUCCUUAUGAACCGUAAUGCCAUUAAUUUGGUGUUGCGGGGAAUUUGGACUGUUACUUUGAAAAAAUUAGAGUGUUUAAAGCAAGCUAACGCUUGAAUACAUUAGCAUGGAAUAAUGAAAUAGGACGUUCGAUCUUAUUUUGUUUGGUUUUCUAGGAUUGACGUAAUGAUUAAUAGGGAUAGUUGGG
rnacentral:rRNA from 1 species